rnacentral:rRNA from 1 species
AGAGCGAACGCUGGCGGCGUGCUUAACACAUGCAAGUCGAGUGCGCGCCCGUAGCAAUACGGGUGGCGCACGGCGCACGGGUGCGUAACACGUGGGUAAUCUGCCCUUCGAUGGGGAAUAACUCGCCGAAAGGCGAGCUAAUUCCGCAUAACAUUCCGAGGACUUUGGUCUUGGAUUCAAAGGCGUAAGUCGUCGGAGGAGGAGCCCCGCGCACGAUUAGCUAGUUGGUGAGGUAAUGGCUCACCAAGGCUAUGAUCGUUAGC